GGAGGAAAGUAGGGGAUCGCAAGACCUCGCGCUAUUAGAGUGGCCGAUGUCCGAUUAGCUAGUUGGUGGGGUAAAGGCCCACCAAGGCGACGAUCGGUAGCUGGUCUGAGAGGAUGAUCAGCCACACUGGGACUGAGACACGGCCCAGACUCCUACGGGAGGCAGCAGUGGGGAAUUUUGGACAAUGGGCGAAAGCCUGAUCCAGCCAUGCCGCGUGCGGGAAGAAGGCCUUCGGGUUGUAAACCGCUUUAGUCCGGGAAAAAGGGGUGCGAGGAUAAUACCCUUGUGCUUUGAUGGUACUGGAAGAAUAAGCACCGGCUAACUACGUGCCAGCAGCCGCGGUAAUACGUAGGGUGCGAGCGUUAAUCGGAAUUACUGGGCGUAAAGCGUGCGCAGGCGGUCUUGUAAGACAGUCGUGAAAGCCCCGGGCUUAACCUGGGAACUGCGUUUGAAACUACAAAGCUAG
rnacentral:rRNA from 1 species